CAUCCAUGUUAUUUCGCGACAAUUUGGUUGAAAGAAACCCAAAUUUCUGAUAUAGAAACAUUUAGAAAAUGGGUGAAAUUUGACCUAGAGGACAACAGGAGGGUUAAGUUAAUUUAAAUAUCAAAUAUCGAGCGCCAACAGAGACCACAGAACGUAUGAUUACAAGAAGUGCGUUCCACCGUUUCGGAGGCACCACUUUAAAAGCACAGUCACGUUUUGUUUUUAGUUGAGCGCGAUGGACAACAGUCAGCCAUGGUCAGUAGACCUAAGUGACCUACUGGCAAGGGCAUAGCGGACACGCGGGACGGGAGACGGGGACAUGUCCCCCGCACUUUCCAUGUCGGUGCCCCCCGUCCCCCUACACUUACAACACGUCUGAGUUGAUUUGAACGCACCAUAAGUAGCAAGUGUGCACAUUACUCAGGCAUUAGAAUGUGCCAAAGGCCACCAAAUAUGGGCUAUUACAGCCAAAACACACACACACACACACACACACACACACACAUAUUUUGCAGCAUCCCAUCCCACAAAAUAGUUCCAAUGUCUCUGUGAGUAAUACAGUCAAAUGUAAAAAAAAUGUCUCAUGUUUUUGCAUAUUAAUGACCGUAGUACCACAUACCACAUAUACCGUACACAUUGGCAUGCUCUUCAUCCGUGUGGCCAGUUAAAAUGUUAACAGGUCUCCCAUUGGGAAAGAUGUGGCAGUAAAACAGUAUGGGACGGUUUUACGGAAAUGUGUUUUC